AUUGAACGCUGGCGGCAUGCCUUACACAUGCAAGUCGAACGGCAGCACGGGGGCAACCCUGGUGGCGAGUGGCGAACGGGUGAGUAACAUAUCGGAACAUACCCUAGAGUGGGGGAUAACGUAGCGAAAGUUACGCUAAUACCGCAUACGAUCUAAGGAUGAAAGUGGGGGAUCUUCGGACCUCAUGCUCAUGGAGUGGCCGAUAUCUGAUUAGCUAGUUGGUGAGGUAAAGGCUCACCAAGGCGACGAUCAGUAGCUGGUUUGAGAGAACGACCAGCCACACUGGAACUGAGACACGGUCCAGACUCCUACGGGAGGCAGCAGUGGGGAAUUUUGGACAAUGGGGGCAACCCUGAUCCAGCAAUGCCGCGUGAGUGAAGAAGGCCU
rnacentral:rRNA from 1 species